CCCCUUCCCUUCCCCCUCCCCUUCCACCACAACAGACUUACUAGCUGCAAGCAGUUCUUCAAGCUGCCAAGGAUGUGCUCCUCACUGCCUACGUGUUGUGGUGUGGCUGCACGGAUGCAUGGGCCAUUUAUUGGCCAAAUUAUUGGCCUGAUAUGGCCGAUUUCUGAUACUGAUAAUUUUCUUUAUAUCAGUGCCAAUCUGAUAUUGGACUGAUGUAUUGAUGCACCAAGGGGGUU